AUUACAAUUGCUGACAAAAUGUUUCUCAGGUCGUUUGGAUUUGCGCUGCUCUUGUCUUGUCCUGGAGUUCCUCAUGCCCAAAGCCCAGCAGAGCCCUGUCCUGCUCCGCAGCUGGAUGGAGGCUUUUUAGUGCCUGAACAAGAAACCUAUUUGCAUGAAACCAGUCUUACGUACGCUUGCAGCGCUGGACAAAAACCAGCAGUGGAGGGCUGGUGGGUCACCAGUGUCUGCCUGAACGGGUUAUGGUCUCAUACACCCCAAUGUAUAAAUGAAGACGCCUGCUUUACACCCAAUAUUCCCAAUGGCAAAUACAAUGAAAGUCCUGAAGGCUUGUGGUACAGGGAAGGAUCGGUCAUUCGGGUAAAGUGUGACGAAGGCUACCAACACCAAACCUGGGGAGCAACAGCCUCGUGUAGAAAGGGCGAUUGGUCCUCUU